UUUCCGUAGGUGAACCUGCGGAAGGAUCAUUCAUAAUAAGUGUUUUAUGGCACUUUUUUAAAUCAAUAUCACCCUUGUGUGAAAUGCAAGGGAUCUUUUUCCUCUAGAGAGGCCAAACACCAACCAUUAACUAUUAACCAACUCUUUGUAUGAUAUAUAUUAUGAAUAAAACAAUACACAACAUAACUCAAAACAACGGAUCUCUUGGCCCUCGCAUCGAAGAAGAACGGAGCAGAACGGAAGAGCUCUCGACUGCACUCCAGUAAUCUCGUACGAUAU
rnacentral:misc_RNA from 1 species